CCUGUCUCUUCCAAAAAAUACAAAAAUUAGCCAGACAUGGCAGUGUGUGCCUGUAAUCCCACCUACUCAGGAGGUUGGGGCACAAGAAUCCUUGAAUCCGAGAGGUGUAAGGGGCAGUGAACUGAGGUCGUGCCACUGCACUCCAGCCUGGGCGACAGAGUGAGGCCCUGUCUCGAAAAAAUUUUGUUCUCUUUUUGGUAGAGAUGGGUUCUCGUUUUGUUGUCCAUGUUGGACUUGAACUCCUGGCCCCAAGUGACCCUCCCUUCUCAGCCUCUCAAAGUGCUGGGAUUACAGGUGUGUGCCAGCGUGCCCAGCUAAUAACCUGUUUUUUUCUUUUGUUUUGUUUUGUUUUUUGAGACGGAGUCUCGCUCUGUUGCCAGGAUGGAGUGCAGUGGCGUGAUCUCAGCUCACUGCUACCUCUGCCUCCUGGGUUCAAGUGAUUCUCCUGCCUUAGCCUCCCAAAGUGCUGGGAUUACAGGCAUGAGCCACCCGGCCGUAACCUGAUUUUUAAUGACAUAAUGUCCGGUAUUGUUAUUUAGAUGAAAGCCGCAUGACUGUGGUCAAGCCCCUCCUCCUCUGAACCUCAGCUUGCUCAUCUGUGAAACGGGAAGAGUCAUGUGGCAAUGCCCGGGUUUUUGCAAGAUCUAGACGUGUUGUCGCUGACCAGCAGCUGUCAUCCCUUAUGUGACCCUGCUCCCAGGACACUGGAAUCCCUGCUGUGGAUCUCCUGGGCCCAGCAUCACAAGAAGCUCUUACCACGGGAACACACAGUCCCUGUGCCAAGCAUAUUCAUGCAAGAGCUGAAAAGAAAACAGCCAAGCUCUUCCUGACCCGACUUUUCCUGCAGGGAUGCUGUGGACUGAGGAAGAGUCUCCCUACCCUAGCUCAAGCAAAAAGCCCUGGGACUUUCAAAGAAUCUUAGUGACAGAAGGAAUUUUGAGGUUUCACUGAAGCUUCUCAUUUUCCAGGUAAUGCCAGUGACUUGCCCCAAGCCACGCUGCCGGUCUGGGUGAGAACUCUGGUCUGUGGUUUCCAGCUCAUGCUCCAUCCCACUCAAGGAAGCUCCUUGAAGGUCAGUGCUAUGGACUGAAUUGUGUCCCCUGAAAUUAUGUGUUGAAGUCCUAACCCUUAAUGUGACUGUAUUUGGAAAUACGGUCUUUAGGAGGGAAUUAAGGUUAAACAAACUUGCAAGGGUGGGGCCCUAAUCCAUUAGGACUGUAGCCUUAUAAGAACAGGGAAAGAUCUCUUGCUGGAUCUCUUUCUUUCUCCCUUUCUCCCUCUCUUUCUCUCCCUCUCCCUUUCUCCCUCUCCCUCUCCCUCCCCCUUUCUCCCUCUCCUCUUCCCUCCCCAUUUCUCCCUCUCCCUCCCCCUUUCUCCCUCUCCUCCUCCCUCCCCAUUUCUCCCUCUCCCCCUCCCUCCCCAUUUCUCCCUCUCCCUCCCCCUUUCUCCCUCUCCCUCCCCCUUUCUCCCUCUCCCUCUCCCUCCCCCUUUCUCCCUCUCCCUCUCCCUCUCUUUCUCCCUUUUCCCCAUUCCAUGUGAGCACACAGUAAGAAGGCAGUGAUCUGCAAACCAGGAAGAGAGCUCUCACCCUGCUGGCACUCUGAUCUUCAGCUUCCAGCCUCCAGGACUAUGAGAAAUAAAUAUCUGUUAUUUGAGGCACCCCGUCCAUGGUAUUUUGAUAUGGCAGCCAGAGCAGAUGAAGACAGUCUGGCUUUGAGUUCGUCACACUCUCAUUCAGCAUCUCUGGAGGAACUCACCUCUGAUGUCCUCACAUGGUGCUUCUGUAAUUUGUUAUAAAAAACACCUCUUCUCUCUGGACUGCUGGAAGGUGAAUUGGCUUUCUCCACUCUCAAGAAUGGAUUGAUAUGGCUUGACUCUGCAUGUGAUCUGGGGCUGGUGAAAGCAGUUGUGCUGGGUGCAGAUGAGAGCAGGGAGGGCGUGGAGCAGAACUCUCAGGGAACAAUGGGGAGAGAAUGGGAGCCUCAGCUUCUUACCUGCCUCCCAGCCACUGCCAUUGACUUGUAGCUGCCCCACUGCCAUCUUCACCUUCCCACAACCCCAGCCUCCCUGAAUGCCUCAUAAUGUCCUGAGUGUGCCAUGUAGAUCAUUCCUCCAUGCCUCCUCCACCCGCUGCCCACCCUGCCUAUAACACUCCUCUUUGUUCCCUGGCAAACCUUCAGCCAUCCAUCAAGAUCCAGCACAGUGACCUCCUCCUCUGUGAAGCCUCCUCCACCAACUCUUCUUAACCCCCAGUUACUUACUUGUAAAGAAAUAAACACAAAAAUAACAACUAAAUCCACACAUACCUACACAUGCAUGCACACACACAUAUACUAGGUUCUUGGUUGCAAACAGUAGGAACUAACUCUAACUAAUUUAGACACAGAAAGACUUAAUUAGAAGGAUAUUGGGUCACCCAAGGAUGACUAGAGAACUGGGGAACCAGGUUUCAGGCUAUGCACCCAGCAACAGUGCCUGGCAGCCCCCUCAGAGCAGGUAUAGGACCCGAUGAGCACCACAGCUUGCACCGGCUUGCACCUCCAACCCUGCUAGCACUGGCCCCAGAGAAUGGCCUGGUGCUGGAGUCACCAUCUCCACCACCAGAGAUGCUUCAGAUAAUCUCUCAAACUCCUCCCUUCUGUGUGGCACUAGCUCUGAGUGUGACUUGGUCUGAUUGACAGGGCCCGGCUCCCCCUGGCCUGCCCUGACUCUAGAGUGAAGGGUAGCUCCUUGCCUCUCCAAGACCCAGAGCGGGGGGAAUUCCUCAAAUAUAGAAGGGGAUCUAUAUGUUGUAUAAAGUCAUCUCAAACAUUGAAUUAACAAAUACUGAAGUAUUGCUCCUAGGGGGAAAUACAGGCUUAGGUCCCACAAGCCUCUGGUCACAACAUUUUCAUCAACUGGUCAACAGAUAACAUUGUUUUCUGCAUGUUUCCAGUUUUGUUUUGUUUGUUGUUGUUGUUGUUUGAGACAGAAUCUCGCUCUGUCACCCAGGCUGCAGUGCAGUGACGCCAUCUCGGCUCACUGCAACCUUGGUCUCCCAGGGUUCAAGCACAAUUCUCAUGCUUCAGCCUCCUGAGUAGCUGGAGCUACAGGUGUACACCACCGUUCCUGGCUAAUUUUUGUAUUUUUAGUAGAGAUGAGGUUUUGUCAUGUUGGCCAGGCUGGUCUUGAACUCCUGACCCCAAGUGAUCCCCCUGCCUCGGCCUCCCAAAGUGCUGGGAUUACAGGCAUGAGCCACUGUGCCCAGCUGCAUGUUUCUGUUUAGAGACACCUUAUAGCAAUAUAUAUUGUUGAUUCAUUAGCAUUGAACUCACGGGCUACAGCAGUAUACCCCAUGACUGAAUGGAGCAGAUCUCACUCAUGCAUUUUUCUUUGUAAGGAACGUCAGUGUCUUCCUGUGCUCAGGAAUGCUAGACAGCACUUCAGCACCAGGCUUGGGGGUCACCAGCAAAAGGCACAAAAAUGCAGAAAUCGUGUCACUAAAUUGACUGUGAAAAGGUCACUUGCUUGCAGUAUGAAAGCUGAGAUGAGAAGAUGGUGUCACCUUGUUCAAACUCAGCUGGUAAUGUCUGUGGCGCGUGACUCAAAUAUUUUGCCUCUCUUCACAUGUCCACGAAUGACUGUGAAAGUGCCGCAAGCAUCGAUUCGAGGGUUGUAAAUAAAUUCUAGCAGGUAGGCAAAUUUGAAAAUAUGGAAUCUGUGAAUAACGAGAAUUGACUAUAUCUCUGUCUAUAUAUACACAUACACAUAUAUCAAUAUAACUUUAUUAUGUAUACAUUUUCCCUAUAUAUUUCCAUGACUAUAAGUCAUAUUACUGUGAGGUUUCUCACCCAAUGAGGGUUCCCGCUUUCACAGGCAAGUGGAACAUCUACCAGAACAACAACAGCCAAUGCAAUAAUGUCCAGUUAGAUUUUUAUUUGCACUUAUAGCAAGACAAUAAGCUGGAGAGCAAGGUGUUGUGGAGAGCAAGGAGUUUUUCUCCGUCCCUUUGGCCUCCGGCCAGAGCAAUACAUUUGCACAGGUCCCUGCCCUGCCCAGAAUGCUUGCUGAGCCCUAAGAGAGGGCCAGGCAAAGUCUCCCACUCUCAGGGACAGAAAACAUGCAAAACAGAGAAAAAUGUCAAGAAUUACCUAGUGGGCUAGGUGCAGUGGCUCACACCUGUAAUCCCUGUAAUCCUGUAAUCAGCACUUUGGGAGGCCAAGGUGGGUGGAUCACCUGAGGUCAGGAGUUCGAGACCAGCCUGGCCAACAUGGAGAAACCCCGUCUCUACUAAAAAUAAAACAAUUAGCCAGGAGUGGUGGCGGGUGCCUGUAAUCCCAGCUACUCAGGAGGCUGAGGCAGGAGAAUCACUUGAACCUAGGAGGCAGAGGUUGCAGUGACCCGAGAUAGUGCCACUGCACUCUAGCCUGGGUGACAAGAGUGAAACUCUGUCUCAAAAAAAAAAAAAAAAAAAGGAAAGAAAGAAUGACACAGUGAAAGGAAAGAAAAAAUGGAUUUUGCAGCCAAGAGAAAAAGCCUCUUGUUGAAGGAAAUCAGAUUACUGAAUAAGUGAAUGAAUAAAUGUGCAAUUCCAAAAGAGAGUCACUGGAAGUCAGGGAGCUGUCCCCACAGAGGGGCUGACUAGGAAGGGAUUGGAAGCCUUGCUCCUCUCCAGGACCAUCAGGCCAGAGGCGGGGUGGGGAAGAUGGGAGGGUGUGUUGGCUUUGGAGUCUACACAAAUAUUUCCACUGGGCUUAUUAGCUCAUUUGGUUGUGACAACAGCUCCUACGAAGUAGGAAAGUCAGCGACCGUUAUUCUGAUGAUUUGACAACUAAAUGGGUGUUCAAAUUCACCCCAAAUCCUGUGGCUAGUAAAAUACCCAAGCCAGGACUGAGGAUUUUCUUUUUUUCUUUUUUUUUUUUCCCGAGAUGGAGUCUUGCUCUGUCACCCAGGCUGGAGUGCAACGGCACGAUCUCGGCUCACUGCAACCGCUGCUUCCUGGGUUCAAGUGAUUCUCAUGCCUCAGCCUCCCCAGUAGCUGGGACUACAGGUGCACCACCACGCCUGGCUAAUUUGUUUGUAUUUUUAGUAAAGGUGGGGUUUCACCAAGUUGGCCAGGCUGGUCUCGAACUCCUCAAGUCAGGGUUUUUCCGAUGCAGCAGGCUGUCUCUUGGUUUAGAAGCAAGGAGGAAUACACAGAAUUGCGGCAUCCAUGUAGUAUAUUUUCCACAUAUACUAUAUGAUUUCAGAGGCAGUGUGAUGAUUCCUACUGACCGGCAUUCCUAUUGACAAGAUCGGGAAGCAGGCUCAGAGGGGUGCCGCACCAUGCCCAAGAGACCAGUGCCUGUGUUAAGGGCAUUCCCAGAAGCUGGGAGAGCCCUCAAGGAGUCCGUGUUCUUCUUGGGUAAAGCUGAGCCAGGGGCACACAGACUGGCUGGAUGGCUGGGGAAGAGCAGGCCCUUAGCGCCUACAGUCAGGCUGGUCUGACUGGAAGUGUCACGUCACUCUGCCCUGAAGGCUCUGUGGUUCACCCUGGGUUCUGACACAUCCUGCCUGACACCUUGCCCCACUGCAGGGCUUGGUUGGCCAAGCCUGCUGCGCUGAGCUCCGGGACUUAUAAGGUGGUACAGUCUGUCACCCCUGGCUGCUGCUGGGCCCUGCUGCUCUUUGCAGUCGCAGCCUGGGAGCCACCGGGGCAAGGACUUUGAGUGCUGUACGGUGUGUGCAUGAGUGUGUCCUGAUCACACAGUUGCCUCAGCAGGGAUUUUUAAAAAUCAUUGUUCUUAAAAGUCCAUGACAGGAGGCUGAGCGCUGUGGCUCACGCCUGUAAUCCCAGCACUUUGGGAGGCCGAGGCGGGCGGAUCACGAGG
rnacentral:lncRNA from 10 species